rnacentral:rRNA from 1 species
UGGCCUCUAUACAAAGCUAUCGCCGAAGGAGGGGUUUGCGUCUGAUUAGCUGGUUGGAGGGUAACGGCCCAACAAGGCGAUGAUCAGUAGCCGGUCUGAGAGGAUGAACGGCCACAUUGGGACUGAGACACGGCCCAGACUCCUACGGAGGCAGCAGUGGGGAAUCUUCCGCAAUGGACGAAAGUCUGACGGAGCAACGCCGCGUGAGUGAAGAAGGUCUUCGGAUUGUAAACUCUGUUAUACGGGACGAAAAAGGCGGAUGCCAACAGUAUCCGUCCGUGACGGUACCGUAAGAGAAAGCCACGGCUAACUACGUGCCAGCAGCCGCGGUAAAU